rnacentral:rRNA from 1 species
CAAGACAACUUUACGGAGUUGACGAUUGACGGAGCGAAGCGACGUCAAAGCGUUCAUUAAAGUCGAGUUGGCUUAGGGAUACGUUCGUUGGGUAGGGGAGCGUUCUGUAAGCCUGUGAAGGUGUGUCGUGAGGCAUGCUGGAGGUAUCAGAAGUGCGAAUGCUGACAUAAGUAACGAUAAAGCGGGUGAAAAGCCCGCUCGCCGGAAGACCAAGGGUUCCUGUCCAACGUUAAUCGGGGCAGGGUGAGUCGACCCCUAAGGCGAGGCCGAAAGGCGUAGUCGAUGGGAAACGGGUUAAUAUUCCCGUACUUGGUGUUACUGCGAAGGGGGGACGGAGAAGGCUAUGUUGGCCGGGCGACGGUUGUCCCGGUUUAAGCGUGUAGGUGUGUGUUCCAGGUAAAUCCGGUUCACUUUAACACUGAGGCGUGACGACGAGGCACUACGGUGCUGAAGCAACAAAUGCCCUGCUUCCAGGAAAAGCCUCUAAGCAUCAGGUAACACGAAAUCGUACCCCAAACCGACACAGGUGGUCAGGUAGAGAAUACCAAGGCGCUUGAGAGAACUCGGGUGAAGGAACUAGGCAAAAUGGUGCCGUAACUUCGGGAGAAGGCACGCUGACACGUAGGUGAAGUGAUUUACUCAUGGAGCUGAAGUCAGUCGAAGAUACCAGCUGGCUGCAACUGUUUAUUAAAAACACAGCACUGUGCAAACACGAAAGUGGACGUAUACGGUGUGACGCCUGCCCGGUGCCGGAAGGUUAAUUGAUGGGGUCAGCGUAAGCGAAGCUCCUGAUCGAAGCCCCGGUAAACGGCGGCCGUAACUAUAACGGUCCUAAGGUAGCGAAAUUCCUUGUCGGGUAAGUUCCGACCUGCACGAAUGGCGUAAUGAUGGCCAGGCUGUCUCCACCCGAGACUCAGUGAAAUUGAACUCGCUGUGAAGAUGCAGUGUACCCGCGGCAAGACGGAAAGACCCCGUGAACCUUUACUAUAGCUUGACACUGAACAUUGAGCCUUGAUGUGUAGGAUAGGUGGGAGGCUUUGAAGUGUGGACGCCAGUCUGCAUGGAGCCGACCUUGAAAUACCACCCUUUAAUGUUUGAUGUUCUAACGUGGACCCGUAAUCCGGGUUGCGGACAGUGUCUGGUGGGUAGUUUGACUGGGGCGGUCUCCUCCUAAAGAGUAACGGAGGAGCACGAAGGUUGGCUAAUCCUGGUCGGACAUCAGGAGGUUAGUGCAAUGGCAUAAGCCAGCUUGACUGCGAGCGUGACGGCGCGAGCAGGUGCGAAAGCAGGUCAUAGUGAUCCGGUGGUUCUGAAUGGAAGGGCCAUCGCUCAACGGAUAAAAGGUACUCCGGGGAUAACAGGCUGAUACCGCCCAAGAGUUCAUAUCGACGGCGGUGUUUGGCACCUCGAUGUCGGCUCAUCACAUCCUGGGGCUGAAGUAGGUCCCAAGGGUAUGGCUGUUCGCCAUUUAAAGUGGUACGCGAGCUGGGUUUAGAACGUCGUGAGACAGUUCGGUCCCUAUCUGCCGUGGGCGCUGGAGAACUGAGGGGGGCUGCUCCUAGUACGAGAGGACCGGAGUGGACGCAUCACUGGUGUUCGGGUUGUCAUGCCAAUGGCACUGCCCGGUAGCUAAAUGCGGAAGAGAUAAGUGCUGAAAGCAUCUAAGCACGAAACUUGCCCCGAGAUGAGUUCUCCCUGAGACUUAG